AACGGUCUAUACCUGCGGUACCUGCGGAGGGAUCAUUCGUGAAGCAGGCGCUCCGUCGCCCUUCUCUACCCUUCAACCAUGUGGUCUUCUGCCAUUGCCUCGGGGGGGUUUGAGGCGGCCUCGGCCGUCGGGGCCCCUUGCUGGGCCCCGCCCCCCCGCGUGCCCUUGAUAAAGUCUUGGAGUGAUAUUUGCGUCUGAUCUGUCCGGUGGACAUAAUGAAAAUAAAACUUUCAACAACGG
rnacentral:misc_RNA from 1 species